GAAAUUCACUACUGUAAGUUGCUCUGGAUAAGAGUGUCUGCUAAAUGACUGUAA
rfam:Salmo salar isolate Sally breed double haploid chromosome ssa13, whole genome shotgun sequence.